ensembl:lncRNA
AGUUUCUGUAACUUCUUCAUGUUUUUGGUGAAAUGUUCCUGGUUCCUGUUACCAUGACGUCUCAGUGUUGUGUCUCUGGGCUUCUUGUAGGUGACGUCUGGUUCUUUUGUCCUCCUGGUCCUCUGUGAGUUUUGUCCUUUGGUGUCCCUGUUAUGAAGUCAGUCAGGUGUCUCUGUUUGGGCACCUGUGUGAGGACCUCAGGAAAGAGUUGACAACAAGAAAGCCAAUAGAAGGUCUCAACAGAUGCAACUUUUCCUGACCUGUGUGGACCACCGUGCGAACUCUGACAAAGCCUGAGAACAUUUUGGCCAGCCGUUCAUUGUGGUGUUUUGUACCGCACCCUGGCCAACAACAGCUUGUAUGUUAAAGUUUUCAGAUGUUGCAAAGUGCAACUUUUAGUGCUUAUCUGAUUUGGUCAUCCACAGUCUAUGACACCUUUUUUUUUUUUUUUAGCUCAACUAUGUUCUGGACAUCAGCAGACCCAAAGAUGAGCUGAUUGUUGAAACGUCUUCUGGAUGCCUCAUGCGGGCAGAUUUUUGGACACUGGGUUUAAACAAACAAAUGGAAUCGACUAUUGGAAAUGGCUGUUUUGAGCUUAUCACUAAAAUUGUCCAGUCAAAGGGGAUAAGCAUUUACAUAGAAAAUCUGUAUGUCACCCGGACUUGGCUUGCACCCUAUGGCUGUGAUCCAUUGCAGUCCUUUCCUACUGAUGCUCAGAGGAUGCACAUCAUAGUUCUCCCUCUCUGGACCCCUGGUCAUUUCCAGUUGUGUGAAUCUUGCAGUGAAGAUCAUUCCCGGGCAGUGGUCAGAAAAAAAGAGCUGUGACUUGAAGGGUUUUCCAAGCCAAGACUAUGGAGUUGACUGUGGGAUCUUCAUGCUGAUGUCUGCUCUGUACGUGGCACUGGAUGCACCAUAUUGACUAUACUGUA